rnacentral:rRNA from 1 species
UUGAAGAGUUUGAUCAUGGCUCAGAUUGAACGCUGGCGGCAGGCCUAACACAUGCAAGUCGAGCGGUAGCACAGAGAGCUUGCUCUCAGGUGACGAGCGGCGGACGGGUGAGUAAUGUCUGGGAAACUGCCUGAUGGAGGGGGAUAACUACUGGAAACGGUAGCUAAUACCGCAUAAUGUCGCAAGACCAAAGUGGGGGACCUUCGGGCCUCAUGCCAUCAGAUGUGCCCAGAUGGGAUUAGCUAGUAGGUGGGGUAACGGCUCACCUAGGCGACGAUCCCUAGCUGGUCUGAGAGGAUGACCAGCCACACUGGAACUGAGACACGGUCCAGACUCCUACGGGAGGCAGCAGUGGGGAAUAUUGCACAAUGGGCGCAAGCCUGAUGCAGCCAUGCCGCGUGUGUGAAGAAGGCCUUCGGGUUGUAAAGCACUUUCAGCGGGGAGGAAGGCGAUAAGGUUAAUAACCUUGUCGAUUGACGUUACCCGCAGAAGAAGCACCGGCUAACUCCGUGCCAGCAGCCGCGGUAAUACGGAGGGUGCAAGCGUUAAUCGGAAUUACUGGGCGUAAAGCGCACGCAGGCGGUCUGUCAAGUCGGAUGUGAAAUCCCCGGGCUCAACCUGGGAACUGCAUUCGAAACUGGCAGGCUAGAGUCUUGUAGAGGGGGGUAGAAUUCCAGGUGUAGCGGUGAAAUGCGUAGAGAUCUGGAGGAAUACCGGUGGCGAAGGCGGCCCCCUGGACAAAGACUGACGCUCAGGUGCGAAAGCGUGGGGAGCAAACAGGAUUAGAUACCCUGGUAGUCCACGCCGUAAACGAUGUCGAUUUGGAGGUUGUGCCCUUGAGGCGUGGCUUCCGGAGCUAACGCGUUAAAUCGACCGCCUGGGGAGUACGGCCGCAAGGUUAAAACUCAAAUGAAUUGACGGGGGCCCGCACAAGCGGUGGAGCAUGUGGUUUAAUUCGAUGCAACGCGAAGAACCUUACCUGGUCUUGACAUCCACAGAACUUAGCAGAGAUGCUUUGGUGCCUUCGGGAACUGUGAGACAGGUGCUGCAUGGCUGUCGUCAGCUCGUGUUGUGAAAUGUUGGGUUAAGUCCCGCAACGAGCGCAACCCUUAUCCUUUGUUGCCAGCGGUCCGGCCGGGAACUCAAAGGAGACUGCCAGUGAUAAACUGGAGGAAGGUGGGGAUGACGUCAAGUCAUCAUGGCCCUUACGACCAGGGCUACACACGUGCUACAAUGGCAUAUACAAAGAGAAGCGACCUCGCGAGAGCAAGCGGACCUCAUAAAGUAUGUCGUAGUCCGGAUUGGAGUCUGCAACUCGACUCCAUGAAGUCGGAAUCGCUAGUAAUCGUAGAUCAGAAUGCUACGGUGAAUACGUUCCCGGGCCUUGUACACACCGCCCGUCACACCAUGGGAGUGGGUUGCAAAAGAAGUAGGUAGCUUAACCUUCGGGAGGGCGCUUACCACUUUGUGAUUCAUGACUGGGGUGAAGUCGUAACAAGGUAACCGUAGGGGAACCUGCGGUUGGAUCACCUCCUU